rnacentral:rRNA from 1 species
GACGAACGCUGGCGGCGUGCUUAACACAUGCAAGUCGAACGGAAAGGCCCUGCUUUUGUGGGGUGCUCGAGUGGCGAACGGGUGAGUAACACGUGAGUAACCUGCCCUUGACUUUGGGAUAACUUCAGGAAACUGGGGCUAAUACCGGAUAGGAGCUCCUGCUGCAUGGUGGGGGUUGGAAAGUUUCGGCGCUUGGGGAUGGACUCGCGGCUUAUCAGCUUGUUGGUGGGGUAGUGGCUUACCAAGGCUUUGACGGGUAGCCGGCCUGAGAGGGUGACCGGCCACAUUGGGACUGAGAUACGGCCCAGACUCCUACGGGAGGCAGCAGUGGGGAAUAUUGCACAAUGGGCGGAAGCCUGAUGCAGCAACGCCGCGUGCGGGAUGACGGCCUUCGGGUUGUAAACCGCUUUCGCCUGUGACGAAGCGUGAGUGACGGUAAUGGGUAAAGAGGCACCGGCUAACUACGUG